GACGAACGCUGGCGGCGUGCUUAACACAUGCAAGUCGAACGAAGAGCGAUGGAAGCUUGCUUCUAUCAAUCUUAGUGGCGAACGGGUGAGUAACGCGUAAUCAACCUGCCCUUCAGAGGGGGACAACAGUUGGAAACGACUGCUAAUACCGCAUACGAUCUAAUCUCGGCAUCGAGGAUAGAUGAAAGGUGGCCUCUACAUGUAAGCUAUCACUGAAGGAGGGGAUUGCGUCUGAUUAGCUAGUUGGAGGGGUAACGGCCCACCAAGGCGAUGAUCAGUAGCCGGUCUGAGAGGAUGAACGGCCACAUUGGGACUGAGACACGGCCCAGACUCCUACGGGAGGCAGCAGUGGGGAAUCUUCCGCAAUGGACGAAAGUCUGACGGAGCAACGCCGCGUGAGUGAUGACGGCCUUCGGGUUGUAAAGCUCUGUUAAUCGGGACGAAAGGCCUUCUUGCGAAUAGUGAGAAGGAUUGACGGUACCGGAAUAGAGAGCCACGGCUAACUACGUG
rnacentral:rRNA from 1 species